GCUCUUGUAGCGCAGUUGGUUAGAGCACCUGUUUUGUAAGCAGGAGGUCUUGAGUUCAACUCUCAACAAGAGAA
rfam:Ipomoea nil DNA, scaffold: scaffold0117, cultivar: Tokyo-kokei standard.